GAGCUGUGUGCGAGUAUUGGGGCAGUUUGGGGCUGUUUUUCCUUUUCGGAGCUCCCGGUUUAUUGCCAAAGCGAAGCGUAAAACACACAUAAACAAACCCAAUGCCCCAUCCCUCUGCAAUGGGGACAUGGUGGGGACCCCUCUGCUGUGUGACACCCUGAUGCCCGUACAGCCUGCUCCGUGCAGACGUGAAUGGCAAAUGUGGAUGCAAAGUAGAUGAUUCCCCAGGAUUAACGCUGCAGCUCGAGCCUGCAAAAUGUAUGCGGGAGCCGUCUUUGGAGCGAGAUCGCUUAAACCUAAGCCUGCUUUAAGCUGGGUGCACUCGUGCAGCACUCACACACAGCACCACCCCUGCCAUGCUGCAAGGCCAAAGCUGCACCUAGCCCUGCUCUGCAGUUCUGGUGCACCUCAAAGCAUCUUGGUGCACCUCAGAGCUCCUUGUUGCAUCCCAGUGCGUAGGCGCGUUCCUGAUUGAUCUGGAAGCAGCAGCUCGGUGUGAGGGAAGGAGUCUAUACACACCGCAACAGCUCUUUAAUUUCUUAAUUUAAUAUCUGACACGUAAAGAUUCUCAUUAAGCCAGUCAAUGAAGCCUGGAAAUACAAUUUUCGUGCAAACUGUCGCUAUCAUAACUUACACGAAACUUCAGCUGGUGCCCUGUGAGCGGCGUGAUUAAAACCAUUCAUCUUCCCUGUCAGCCUCCCGUCACCGCACCACCCGUGCCACCGCCGCUGGGUGCUGGGUGUGGGGUGCACAGUACCCACACUUGGGGGGCACGGGCAGCCGUGGCAUCACCCAGUAGGAUGGAGGUGGUUGAGAGAGCUGCCCAAAGUGUGC
rnacentral:lncRNA from 1 species